UUCCGGUUGAUCCUGCCGGACCUGACUGCUAUCGGAUUGAUACUAAGCCAUGCGAGUCUUUGCAGUAAUGCAAGGCAUACGGCUCAGUAACACGUAGUCAACUUACCCUAUGGACGAGGAUAAUCUCGGGAAACUGAGCAUAAUACUCGAUAGAUCAUAAUGCCUGGAAUGGUUUAUGGUUGAAAUGAUUCGUCGCCAUAGGAUGGGACUGCGGCCUAUCAGCUUGUUGGUGAGGUAAUGGCCCACCAAGGCGAUUACAGGUACGGGCUCUGAGAGGAGAAGCCCGGAGAUGGGUACUGAGACAAGGACCCAGGCCCUAUGGGGCGCAGCAGGCGAGAAAACUUUGCAAUGUGCGAAAGCACGACAAGGUUAAUCCGAGUGAUUUCUGCUAAAGAAAUCUUUUGCAAGUCAUAAAACCACUAGUGAAUAAGGAGGUGGGCAAGUUCUGGUGUCAGCCGCCGCGGUAAAACCAGCACCUCAAGUGGUCAGGAGGAUUAUUGGGCCUAAAGCAUCCGUAGCCGGCUCUGUAAGUUUUCGGUUAAAUCCAUGUGCUCAACGCAUGGGCUGCCGAAAAUACUGCACAGCUAGGGAGUGGGAGAGGUAGACGGGUACUCAGUAGGAAGGGGGUAAAAUCCUUUGAUCUAUUGAUGACCACCUGUGGCGAAGGCGGUCUACCAGAACACGUUCGACGGGUGAGGGGAUGAAAGCUGGGGGAGCAAACCGGAUUAGAUACCCGGGUAGUCCCAGCUGUAAACGAUGCAGACUCGAUGAUGCAUUGGCAUAUAGCCAGUGCAGUGUCGCAGGGAAGCCGUUAAGUCUGCCGCCUGGGAAGUACGUACGCAAGUAUGAAACUUAAAGGAAUUGGCGGGGGAGCACCACAAGGGGUGAAGCCUGCGGUUCAAUUGGACUCAACGCCGGAA
rnacentral:rRNA from 1 species